rnacentral:rRNA from 1 species
ACUCCUACGGGAGGCAGCAGUGGGGAAUAUUGCACAAUGGGCGCAAGCCUGAUGCAGCCAUGCCGCGUGUGUGAAGAAGGCCUUCGGGUUGUAAAGCACUUUCAGUCGUGAGGAAGGUAGUGUAGUUAAUAGCUGCAUUAUUUGACGUUAGCGACAGAAGAAGCACCGGCUAACUCCGUGCCAGCAGCCGCGGUAAUACGGAGGGUGCGAGCGUUAAUCGGAAUUACUGGGCGUAAAGCGCAUGCAGGUGGUUUGUUAAGUCAGAUGUGAAAGCCCGGGGCUCAACCUCGGAAUAGCAUUUGAAACUGGCAGACUAGAGUACUGUAGAGGGGGUUAGAAUUUCAGGUGUAGCGGUGAAAUGCGUAGAGAUCUGAAGGAAUACCGGUGGCGAAGGCGGCCCCUGGACAGAUACUGACACUCAGAUGCGAAAGCGUGGGAGCAAACAGGAUUAGAUACCCCUGGUAGCGACUGA